CUGACCUCGUAGAACCCGACCACUCCUCACACCAGUCAUCCGCGCCUCACUUGGCCCUUCCUCAAGAAGACGCAAACACUCCAACUGUUGCUCCAACUCCUCUCCCUGGACGUGACGUGACCAUCUGCGCCUCACUUGCCCCUUCCUCAAGAAGACACAAAAGGAAUGGAGGGGAAGAAACCCCGUAAGGCCAACUUCUCCGAGGCUGAAGUGUUGGCAAUGGUCACGGCCAUCCGUGACAAUUAUAAUAUCCUUUUUGGUAAAUUGUCUGCGGGGACAACCCAUUACACCAAAUUGGCAGCCUGGGGAGAGAUCCAAGAAGCUGUGAAUGCAGUGGGGCGGGUUCACCGCGACAUCGAAGAAAUUAAAACAAAAUUCAAGCACCUCAAGUCCGACGUCAAGAGAAAAAGGGCGAAGGACCUUCAUUAUCAAAAAGGAACAGGUAUGUUGAUAGAUUAUCACUGGAGAGCAUUAUGAUA